CAGCGUCCUAUCACGUCAAAAUCUUUCAGAUUUUUUGUUUGGUAAACGCCUAAUUACUGCUUCUUGUAGUUGUGAAGUUGCUCAAAAAGUCAAGCCAAAUAGGUUUUGCAUAUCAUUAGGCGGAAUCAAUAGCAAGUCUCCUAGAUGCAACGAUGAAAUGAAGAGCAUCAUAAUGAGUUGCGAGAGUUUGCAUUUCUUGGCGUAAAGGCUAAUGAAAAGCUAAAACACAUAAUUAUGGGGAGAAUUAUUUUAGUUAUGAGCGUAUACAAUAGGAAGAACAGAAUAAUUUCUUCAAUGAAUGAAAAUUGCUGCUAUGUUAGGAUGAAAACCCAGUGAUUAUAAAGCAAGCGGUCUCCACAAUUUUUGCUGGAACUAAUCGGAAAAAGAAGACGGCGAAAGCUGCAUCCAUAUCGAUAGAUUUGAGCUAACAGUGGCCAUCAUUAUUUCGUUCACACUGUUACUGAAAAUGGUACAAUUUCAUCCAUGAGGCAAGUAAGCCUUUCUUUAUUUUAUUUAACUUACAGUGCCUAAAUAUCUAAUACAAACGCAGAGAAGAAAAUAUCAUCAGGUCUCUACUAUGGCUGUUAUCUCAAGUACAUUUUAUGCAAUCUCUUCAAUUUUGAUCCUGCUUUAUCCGCGAGACAUUAAUGUCUUUCCGUUUCUUUUUAAUGUGUGUCGCUGUGCGAGGGACUGUAGGGUUGAUAUGCCUACGGUCGGUGUCAUCGUUGUUGACGAAGUUAAUUUUUGUUUCUCUGCCCUUUAGGUUGUGGACAUUUCGGAAUCGUUUGUGGCCAAUUUUACAUGGAAAGAGAUUUCACAAUCCAGCCAUUUCAUUUUCUUCAGGAGUUAAUGAUCCCGAAAAUAUACUUCUUGGCAAGUUCUGCAGAGUGCAGGUUAGGAUCCAUUUUCAGAAAUCUGCGGAGUACACUGAUUCAAGAAAUGUUUUCACAGGUAAAGAAUGUUCCAAGAAGCAAUACUUAGUACCCGCUCAGUCUGGCUUCUGAAACAGCUUCUCUACUCAAUAAAGCAGAAGAAUCCGGAUGUUUUGACCCAAAGAAGGCCGAGAGCUUCUUGCUGCUGGCCUGCGGCAGCAAAACGAGAUGACUUCUCGGUGACAAAAGCAGAAGUUCCAGUUCCAACUUCUUUUUCUUUCUGGAAUAAGAAACUUGAAGACAUUUUACUCAAGGAAAGCUUUUUCAUAUUUCUUUGAACAUCUCUACUCUACCCGCACUUCUGCAGAAGCUCUAAUCAAGCUAAAUGGGCCAACAAUGGAAAUUAAGUCGAGAUCUGGUUGAAGAAACGAAGAUCAGCAGCAUUCCUACAAACCAUUGGCUACUUUCCGCGCAGCAGAAGCCGCAGCAAUUGCAGAGAGAGAAGCACUUUUCACAAAAGCGUGGCCGAAAGGGUUCGUGAACUACGAUAAAAGCCGAAUGGAUCGGACUUUUCUCUGCCAAAACCUGGUCAAGAGUAACUGCUAUUCUGGUACAUCUGAAAUUGCUCUGUAAGAACUAAUAAGAAACAUGUAUUCUUCUUUACGGUUAAAUAAAUAUGUAUAUUACUAGA